rnacentral:rRNA from 1 species
UACGUAGGGUGCGAGCGUUUGUCCGGAAUUAUUGGGCGUAAAGAGCUCGUAGGCGGCCUGUUGCGUCUGCUGUGAAAGCCCCGGGGCUUAACCCCGGGUCUGCAGUGGAUACGGGCAGGCUAGAGUUCGGCAGGGGAGACUGGAAUUCCUGGUGUAGCGGUGAAAUGCGCAGAUAUCAGGAGGAACACCGGUGGCGAAGGCGGGUCUCUGGGCCGAUACUGACACUGAGGCGCGACAGCGUGGGGAGCAAACAGG